rnacentral:snRNA from 1 species
AUCGCUUCUCGGCCUUUUGGCUAAGAUCAAGUGUUGUUUGUCUGGGACACUCUUUAUUUCUCCUUCUAUUCUGAAUUAAAGCCUUGCUAGAUAGAGUAUUCUUGGCUGUAGUUUUUUUCCUAUUUACGACUUUGACUAUAUCAUG